rnacentral:rRNA from 1 species
UACAGAGGGUGCGAGCGUUGUUCGGAAUUAUUGGGCGUAAAGGGCGCGUAGGCGGCCUGUUAAGUCGAACGUGAAAUCCCCGGGCUCAACCCGGGAACUGCGUCCGAUACUGGCAGGCUUGAAUCCGGGAGAGGGAUGCGGAAUUCCAGGUGUAGCGGUGAAAUGCGUAGAUAUCUGGAGGAACACCGGUGGCGAAGGCGGCAUCCUGGACCGGCAUUGACGCUGAGGCGCGAAAGCCAGGGGAGCAAACGGG